rnacentral:rRNA from 1 species
CCAUUGUUCUUGUUCAAUAUGGUGGUGGACGCGCUUGCAGCCAUCCUGGACAAGGCCAAGGCUGUGGGCCAUAUUCGUGGGAUCACCCCCCACUUGGCCGGUGGCUCCGGCAUCUCCCUGCUCUAGUACGCCGAUGACACCAUCAUCAUGGUCGAAGGCUUGGGCGCAGACAUCGCUAACCUUAAGUUCCUCAUUCUCUGCUUCCAACAAAUGUCUGGCCUCAAGAUCAACUUCGACAAGAGUGAUGCGAUGGUGAUGGGCUACUCUCCGGCAGAGGCCCUCGACAUUGCCAACCGCCUUAAUUGCCACCUGGGCUCCUUCCCCACAACCUACUUGGGAAUGCCCAUUAGUGACUCUCGGCUUACCGUUGCUGACUUGCGGCCGACCGUGGCCAAGUUGCAAACACGCAUUGAGCCUUGGCAGGGUAGAUGGCUGUCGAAGGCGGCUCGGACGAUUCUCAUCAACUCCUCCCUCUCCAGUCUCCUCUUGUUCCUCAUGAGCUUCUACAGCCUUCACGAGACUCUCCACCAUGAGAUCGCCAAGGUCCAAUCUCGCUUCUAUUGGGCUGGUGACAACAAUGAGCAGAAGUACCACAUUGUUAGUUGGCCCGACAUCUGCAAGCCCCGGGAACAAGGAGGCCUCGGUAUCAUGUGCUCAAAGCACAUGCAUAUUGCCCUCCUUUCCCGCUGGCUCUGGCGCAUCUCGCAAGGGCACGGCGGGCUGUGGUUAGACAUCAUCCGGAACAAGUACCUGUGUGGCCAACCACUGGCCUUCUGUCAACGGUCCGGUGGUUCCCAGUUCUGGCAGUCAGCAUUCAACUGCUCCCCGUUCUCUGCAUUGGGACUUCCAUAUCGGUCGGAUCGGGAUCUAUGA